rnacentral:rRNA from 1 species
GGCGAGUGAGCGGCAAAAGCUCAAAUUUGAAAUCUAGCACCUUCGGUGUUCGAGUUGUAAUUUGAAGAUGGUAACCUUGGGUUUGGCUCUUGUCUAUGUUCCUUGGAACAGGACGUCAUAGAGGGUGAGAAUCCCGUCUGAUGAGAUGCCCAUUCCUAUGUAAGGUGCUAUCGAAGAGUCGAGUUGUUUGGGAAUGCAGCUCUAAGUGGGUGGUAAAUUCCAUCUAAAGCUAAAUAUUGGCGAGAGACCGAUAGCGAACAAGUACAGUGAUGGAAAGAUGAAAAGAACUUUGAAAAGAGAGUGAAAAAGUACGUGAAAUUGUUGAAAGGGAAGGGCAUUAGAUCAGACUUGGUGUUUUACGAUUAUCUUCUCUUCUUGAGUUGUGCACUCGUAUUUCACUGGGCCAGCAUCGAUUCGGAUGGCAAGAUAAUGGCAGUUGAAUGUGGCUUCACUUCGGUGGAGUGUUAUAGCUUCUGCUGAUAUUGCCUGUCUGGAUCGAGGGCUGCGUCUUUUGACUAGGAUGCUGGCGUAAUGAUCUAAUGCCGCCCGUC